rnacentral:rRNA from 1 species
GAUGGGCCCGCAUCUGAUUAGCUAGUUGGUGAGAUAACAGCCCACCAAGGCGACGAUCAGUAGCCGACCUGAGAGGGUGACCGGCCACAUUGGGACUGAGACACGGCCCAAACUCCUACGGGAGGCAGCAGUGGGGAAUAUUGCACAAUGGGGGGAACCCUGAUGCAGCAACGCCGCAUGAAGGAAGACGGUUUUCGGAUUGUAAACUUCUAUCAAUAGGGAAGAAAGAAAUGACGGUACCUAAAUAAGAAGCCCCGGCUAACUACGUGCCAGCAGCCGCGGUAAUACGUAGGGGGCAAGCGUUAUCCGGAAUUACUGGGUGUAAAGGGAGAGUAGGCGGCAAGGUAAGCGAUAUGUGAAAGCCUUAGGCUUAACCUGAGGAUUGCAUAACGAACUAUCUAGCUAGAGUACAGGAGAGGAAAGCGGAAUUCCUAGUGUAGCGGUGAAAUGCGUAGAUAUUAGGAAGAACACCAGUGGCGAAGGCGGCUUUCUGGACUGAAACUGACGCUGAGGCUCGAAAGCGUGGGGAGCGAACAGGAUUAGGUACCCUGGUAGUCCACGCUGUAAACGAUGAGUGCUAGGUGUCGG